GAUGAACGCUAGCUACAGGCUUAACACAUGCAAGUCGAGGGGCAGCGGGUCGAAAGCUUGCUUUCGAUGCCGGCGACCGGCGCACGGGUGCGUAACGCGUAUCAAACCUGCCUCAUACUCGGGGAUAGCCUUGCGAAAGUAAGAUUAAUACCCGAUGUUGUUGCUUUCUCGCAUGGGAGAGUAACCAAAGAUUCAUCGGUAUGAGAUGGUGAUGCGUCCGAUUAGGUAGUAGGCGGGGUAACGGCCCACCUAGCCUUCGAUCGGUAGGGGUUCUGAGAGGAAGGUCCCCCACACUGGAACUGAGACACGGUCCAGACUCCUACGGGAGGCAGCAGUGAGGAAUAUUGGUCAAUGGACGAAAGUCUGAACCAGCCAAGUAGCGUGCAGGAUGACGGCCCUCCGGGUUGUAAACUGCUUUUAGUUGGGAAUAAAAAAAGGGACGUGUCCCUUCUUGUAUGUACCUUCAGAAAAAGGACCGGCUAAUUCCGUGCCAGCAGCCGCGGUAAUACGGAAGGUCCAGGCGUUAUCCGGAUUUAUUGGGUUUAAAGGGAGCGUAGGCGGAUUGUUAAGUCAGCGGUUAAAGGGUGUGGCUCAACCAUGCAUUGCCGUUGAAACUGGCGAUCUUGAGUGCAGACAGGGAUGCCGGAAUUCGUGGUGUAGCGGUGAAAUGCUUAGAUAUCACGAAGAACUCCGAUCGCGAAGGCAGGUGUCCGGGCUGCAACUGACGCUGAGGCUCGAAAGUGUGGGUAUCAAACAGG
rnacentral:rRNA from 1 species